GCCAGCUCCUGUGGGCACACAGCAACAGCCUCAGCAAACCUGGCACUGCACAGCCAGGCAGUGUUACUAUAGGAAUGGGGCUUUAGCCAAAAUGGUUAACACACCAACAACGGAACUUGAAGAUGUGGCAUCCAUGGGUAUGAAUUAAUUGGUGGAUUCACAAGACAGAUUUAAGUCUUGUGUGGCUGUCCUGAAUGUAUUUGACAGAGAAGACUUCAAGUUAAUUAGUCCUUAGCUGCUUUUUGAAUUUUAAGUAAAAGCAACACACACAUUGUUUUUUAGAAAAACUACAAUUAAAUUACUGCAUUGCAACGUU